GUUGGAAGCACGAAUAUCUCAGAACGCUGCAGCUUCGGCACAAGUGGCAAGGACAACGGACAAGCCUUCAAGAAGGGGACAUCGUCCUUCUAAAAGACAGCCUGGCAAAGAGGAACCAAUGGCCUAUGGGCGUCAUCACAAAGACCUUUCCUGGAGAAGAUGGGCUGGUUCGGAAGGUUGAAGUGGAAGUUGUCAAAGAUGGACACAAAAAGACUUUCUUCCGCCAUAUCGCAGAAGUUGUUCUGCUCCUCUCUCCAAAGACUGAUUUUGUUCGUAAAUGUGGGCUCUCUUGAGACCCCAAGCAGGGAGUGUUAUGCUUCAGGCAAAUGUUGUUUAUUCAGUUCAGCAUCAUAGGUUUAGUUAAAGCAAUCUGUGAGCAGUGCAUGCUGGGAAACCAGGAGGAGGAGUUUGCAGUCAGUUUCCAGCUCCUGUCAUGUAAGCACACAUAGCUGUCAGCUCCUCAGUUUGGACAAUUCUUUCUCCUUUUGCUCAGGCAACAUCUUUUCACAAAGUCUCAGUAAACUCUAUGGAAGUUAA